CUACAAGUAUUAAAAGUAAUGAUUUCAAACAAUGUUUAUCUGUUUUGUUUUUUGCUAACAAUUUUAUUAUUAGCCCGAAGAACACUCUUAUUCAAAAAACCAAGUUCAAUCAUUGUGAACAGAAUAAACGAUCAGCUUUUAGUAAAGUACUUUCUUUUACCUAAAUCUUGUUUUUAAUGUCAAAUUAUAGACUGUCAAAGAGCAAAAUUAUAAAUGUUGUAUUUGCCGAUUCAAAAUGCUGUUUAUUUAGGUUUUAGGUUAAAGUUUUUUUGUAUUAGUGCAAUUUUAAAGUAAUGGUCUCCUGUAUAAGGCUAUUAAUACGUUUACAGUUAGACGAAUGUUCUGUUUUACUGUUUCCUAAAAUGUGCAGUAAGACUGUUUUGCGUGUAUGAUCCAAACGCAGUUUGUUUCAUUUAAGUGCGUCUUCCUACAUGCUAAUGUGUCGCAAAGACAAAGAAGUGGUGUGGCUCACGUUAUAAUGUCAAACAAACUAUCCUUUUACGUAAGCAAUUGAUUCUUAUAAGAAAUUAGCGAAUUUUUGUUCUUUAUUUGCAUGUCUUAAAAGCAUAGUGGUCAGAAUAAUGAUUAGUUUUUUUUUUAAUUUUUUUUUGAUUUGUUUUAUUUAAGUUUA